rnacentral:rRNA from 1 species
GCUUAGAGAGGGGUCAAUGUCCUAUCAGCUAGUUGGUAGGGUAAUGGCCUACCAAGGCUAAGACGGGUAGCUGGCCUGAGAGGGUGGUCGGCCACACUGGGACUGAGACACUGCCCAGACUCCUACGGGAGGCUGCAGUCGAGAAUCUUUCGCAAUGCCCGAAAGGGUGACGAAGCGACGCCGCGUGUGGGAAGAAGGCCUCCGGGUUGUAAACCACUGUCGGGAGUUAAGAAAUGCAAGGAUGUUAAUAGCAUCCUUGCUUGACUAAGGCUCCGGAGGAAGCCACGGCUAACUCUGUGCCAGCAGCCGCGGUAAUACAGAGGCGGCAAGCGUUGUUCGGAAUUAUUGGGCGUAAAGAGCACGUAGGCGGCUUUGUAAGUCAGUCGUGAAAGCCUUCUGCUCAACGGAAGAACAGCAUCUGAUACUGCAAGGCUAGAGUGCGGAAGGG